rnacentral:rRNA from 1 species
CCCCACUGCUAUCGAGGUGGGACUAAGCCAUGCCAGUCGAACGACCCGGACUAUGGCGGGGAGUGGCAGACUGCUCAGUAACACGUAGCUAACCUACCCUCGGGACGGGGAUAACCCCGGGAAACUGGGGCUAAUACCCGAUAGGUAUGGAUUCCUGGAAUGGUGCCAUGCCUAAACGUAAGCACAUCCAUGUUUGUGUGCACGCCCGAGGAUGGGGCUGCGGCCGAUCAGGCAGUUGGUGAGGUAACGGCUCACCAAACCUUUGACCGGUACGGGCCAUGAGAGUGGUAGCCCGGAGAUGGGCACUGAGACAAGGGCCCAGGCCCUACGGGGCGCAGCAGGCGCGAAACCUCCACAAUUCACGCAAGUGAGAUGGGGUUACCUCGAGUGCCGCCUUUUAGGUGGCUUUUACUCAGUGUAAAGAGCUGGGUGAAUAAAGGGGGGGCAAGACGGGUGUCAGCCGCCGCGGUAAUACCCGCUCCCUGAGUGGUGAGGGCUUUUAUUGGGCUUAAAGCGUCCGUAGCCGGCUUGGUGUGUCUCUCGUUAAAUCCGACGUCUCAAGCGUCGACCCGCGAGAGAUACUGCCAGGCUUGAGGGUGGAAGAGGUCGACGGUAUCUCCGAGGUAGGGGUAAAAUCCACUGAUCUCGGGGAGACCACCAGUGGCGAAGGCGGUCGGCCAGGACACGCCUGACGGUGAGGGACGAAAGCUGGGGGAGCGAACUGGAUUAGAUACCCAGGUAGUCCCAGCUGUAAACGAUGCAGACUUGGUGUAAGGGUAGCUACGGGCUACCCCCGUGCCGAAGGAAAACCAUUAAGUCUGCCGCCUGGGGAGUACGGCCGCAAGGCUGAAACUUAAAGGAAUUGGCGGGGGAGCACCACCAGGCGUGAAGCCUGCGGUUU